rnacentral:RNase_P_RNA from 1 species
CCAGAUGGUCGGAUGACCGCUGUUUUGACCCCUCAAAAGGUUGAGAGAGAGGAAAGUCCGGGCUCCAGACGAAAGAGUGCCGGAUAACGUCCGGCGAAGGUGACUUCAGGGAAAGUGCCACAGAAAACAAACCGCCAGCCUCGCAAGAGUAAGGUAAGGGUGAAAAGGUGCGGUAAGAGCGCACCGCGUCUUUGGUAACAAAGAUGGCAGGGCAAACCCCACUCGGAGCAAGACCGCAUAGGAACCGCCUGUUCGCUUUCGAGCGAACGCCGUUUCGUCACGGCUGUGCAGGUUCGGGUUGGUCGCUCGAGGCGCUUGGCAACAAGCGUCCUAGAUGAAUGGUCAUCCAUCGUGUGCUUUGCGCGCGAGGACAAAAUCCGGCUUACAGACCAUCUGGGGCU